AUGACAGAUCAAGGAAACACAAGACUUGAAUCUGUAAACUGGACUCUGGCUGUCAGGGCAGAGGCAUCUUCCUCACUAAAUCUGAGAAGGACAUAAAACCUGGGCAGGAUAUGAUCUGCCAGCUCUACAUCUCGAGGGGAACAUUCCAAGGAAAGAAUGAAAGUGUGUGAACGGCUGGG